AUAAUUUGAUCAUCAACUUUAUUCAAAAGAACAUAUUGUAAACGAGAAUGACAAAACUUCAACAAUAAUUCAUCAUACGCUGCAUAAAAUACCAUUGUGCAUCAUGGUAGAUAUGCACCUUACAAAAAUCGACAUCAAUCGUCAAAUAUAAAACUUUGACUAAGACAAAUUACGACGAUUCGAAAAGUGUCCAAUCCAUUGCACUCGAAAAAACUAAGCAAACGUCGCUUUUGACUUACGUGGUAAACAUUGCCGAUUAUUGACUCGCAAAUUCAAGAAUAAUCAUAGUUUAAAAUUUCUGUAUCACUUAUAAUGAUUUGGAUUUCACAUAUACGAUUAUGAUACCAAUGGACUAUGGCCCCAUGUUUACUUAGAAAAAUAAUGGUCAUAUCAUUAAAAUUACGAAAACAAAAAUUAGCUACUAUUAUAGAAAAUGGUUCUGUCCUUAAAAGAAAGAUUUUUAAAAUGCUCCUGAGAUUCCAAUAGGUAUCACAAAAAGAAAUGAGGGCUUUCAAAGACUUGGGAUUAUGUGUUGAUAUUAUUCCACCAUCAAGUUGAGACUUAUGCCUAAAAAUGAUUAUCUAAACAUCAUUCAUGUUGAAUGGGCUAUUGUUUAUUUGAAGCAUUGAUAAACGUAACAAAUAAUUGCAAUGGGUAUCAGCGGCAAUACCAUAACUUAGAGACAGCAAGCUUCAAACGAGGAAGGGAUUUUAAAUAAAAGUAAAGAUGCGCUUAUGUAUUAACAGCAUAAAUAUAAAAAAUUCGAAAAAUCAGAUGAUACGAUAGUACUGUACAAACAUCACCUUAUAUUUUAAGAAAGAAUUUUUCCUAAAAUUAGGCAAAUAAUUGAAAAGAAUAACAAUAAAUUAAAGAUCUCCUUUAAUCUUAAGCUGGUCAGAUGAGGAUGGAAUGUCAGCUUGUACGCCUUCAACGAUAUCCGACGAUUCUUCACCUGGUCUUUUAUAAUGGGCACUGGCUUUUGGACCUUUGAACCAUUUUCGUGCUGAAAUGGCAUACCAUACAAGGGUGAAGAGCAUAGGACCCCCAUACACUAGACAGGUCCAAUUCAUUUCUUGAGCGGUUGGAUUUUUAACAGAUGGAAAGCAUAAAAUAGGAAUCAUCAAAGCAACAAACGAGACUGCCAAAAGACCAAUGGGUCUUGAAAAUUUCCCCAAAUUCCAAGGACCUCUACGGAAAUCAGCAUCUUUGGUAAAGAAGACACGAAUAGCGAUUGGAACAGUGAAGGCAAUAAAAGCAGCAACAGCACCGACAGAAAAUACAGCAUCUAAGGUGACUGUACCAGCAAACGUAAGGAACAAAAUAAGGAUACUAAUGAUGCAGUUACAUAUUACGGCAUUUACAGGAGUUUGAGUGUAUGGGUUGACCGUGCCGAUCCAACCUGAAAAGGGAAGAAUACCGUCUCUGGCAUAGGAAUAGGCGAUACGAGAUGAAGCGAUAAGUGCACUUUGACCCAUGAUGAUGGCAGAAAUAAUCGUAAGACUCAAUAUACCCAAGGCAGCCUUAGGAGGCAUUGCUUGUACAAGAUAAGCCGUCCACAUAGAUCCAGAUGUGUUCAUAACCGAGUCAAUAUCAGUUAAGGUAUAGGCGACGAUAAUUUGCAUAAUCCAUCCAACUACACCUCCAAUAACUGCAGUCAUUACAAUGGCUUUUGGAGCAUUAACACUUGCAUUGGAACAUUCUUCACUAAGAUGAAAGGGGGCAUCGUAACCAGACAUGGUCCAGAUAGGACUGUUGAAGGAAAGAAGGAUAGCAAAACCGGUAGGCCAUUGGGUUGUGUUAAUAUAAUCUCCCCAAAUCUUUGUUCCCUUCACAAAGUUAUGAUUUUUACCGCCAUAAGCUAAGAUCGUAAUACCUGCGAUGAAAAGGAAUGCAGUGUUUAGGUAGGUUGCUACACCAUUAAUACGAGAAAUGAUUCUAGUUGGCAAGCAGGCCAGAACACAAUUAAAGCACUGGAUGGCUACAGCCAAAAGGAACCAUUGCCAACGCUGAAUGACAAAGUCGGGACGAUUGACAGUAACAGCACCUAGAAUCAUACUAGCAGCAGAGGAAUUAACAGAUGGCUGUCCAAUAAUAUUACCAAUAUAAUUAGACCAUCCAGUGAUCCAAGAGGCUAAGGGGCCCCAUCCUUUGGGAGCGAAAACAGCGGCAGCAUAAUACAACCCACCGGAAGUAGGCAUUGCUGAACAGAUCUCUGCCAUACUCAUGGAAACGCAGAUAAGGAAAAACAUUGCAAUUAACCAAGCCCAUAAUAAACCAGGAUAACCAACGUACCAAAGACCAAAAACCAAAGUAGAAGCGACAGAGGGAAGCAUACCGAGAACCGAGAAAGAGAUGGAGAAAAUGCCAAAUAGAGAAAGCUGGCGACGAAACUCUUGUUUAUAACCCAACUCAGCCAAUUCUUCAGGAUUAUCAAUGUCACCUUGAUCAUCGUAAAAAUUUUCAUGGGUAUCAACAAUUUCAGCAGCUUUACCAACUUCGUCAGAGGAAGGCUCAAACGUAAAGCUAUGCUUUGAUGAGGAAACAUCCGUUUUUUCCAUAAUAGACGACAUUUUUAAGAAAACUAAAACAAGACUAAAGAUUAGUGAUUUUUCUCAACAAUGGCAGCUUAUAAACAAUUAUAAUAUAAAAAAGCUUUAGGAUCGACAUAAGAUGUUUAAAGAAAAAAAGUUAGUCAUAGUAGCGAUCGCUCUAUUUUAUUCAUUUUUUUUAUAACAUCCAUAUGUCUAUAUAUAUAUAAAAGAUAUAUAUAGAACUGUUUGCUGCACACUCACAUACAUGUAAUAUGAUUAAGAAUAUUUCAAAAACAGAAUAGAAAAGAGGAACUUAUGGAAAAAACCUGUUGAAACAAUAGUUCAGAGCCAAAGAACAAACUAGCUAAAUAUAAUAUGAAGAGAGAAAAAAAUAAUUUGAAGACUAUACAAUCUUGUAAAACUUUUUGAUAUGUUUAAUAUAAAAAAGCAACAAUUUCAAAUUACUGAUUUUCCUAUAAACACAUUACCCAAGUGAGCCAAAAUAAGGUGAGUCAACGUGAACCAACAAAAACCGAUCCAGAAAACGUGGCUACCACCCUCCAUUUAAGCAUCGAGAAGAGUGGGGACGAACAUAAAAAAAUGUCUCCCCGAGGAAAGCAGGCAAGAAAUUUUUUAAUUUACUGUGCUUUUUCCUCCUUAGAUUAGAUAGACAAAAACACUUAAUUUACACUGAUACCCAGACAUCUAGAUUAAUAUCGACUUGCCUAUUGUUCAUCUUGUGACUUGCAAGGUCAAGCAUAGUGUAGUGAAUAUGAUAGAGUACGAAAGAGAUAUUGACGUGGAGAUUUCCAUCCUAUUUUUGGCUAACAGCCAAUGGAGAACGAAAUUUAUGAUAGAGAAAGAAAUUGCUUAAGAAAGAGAGUCUUAAGACCUUUAUAAAACAUGUUAGCAAAGUGGUUUUGUUUUGCUUAUAUAGGACCCUGAUGUAUAAUUAGUAUUAUAAAAACUAUUUACACUUAUUUUGUACCGAGAAAAAUUUUAAAAAAUACUACUGGACAUCACAGUAUCCAUAUAUAACGAAGUACCUUACAGUGGCUAAUAUGAUGUACAUCUGCGAAUAUCCGUAGAUGAGACGUACAAUACUAAAAUAAGUGAAAAAUGGUAUAAACAAAAGACUGUAACGGCGAUAAUAUAGUAAUGCUAUCUUAAACCGUUACUUCCAACAGUUUAAUCUAGGGGUAUGGAGUGAGAAGGUUGCUUAAGAUAUAUGCCCCCAUGUACAAAUGGGUAAACAUUAUAAUCGUAAAAAAAUUUUUUUGGACAGAUGAAAAAAGGUUUUAUCAAGUUGUAUUAUAAUAAUUCUAGCUUCUCUUUUUUGGUUAAAAGAACAACAAUUUCAUAGCGAUCAUGAAUACGAUAAAAAUAAAAAGAACG
rnacentral:lncRNA from 1 species